GUCGAAUGUCUCAAAAGAUAAAGGAAAUUUAGGAAGGCAGUGUAAAUAUUAAACUAUUACAUGGUAAUCCUGUUCAAACUAUAAACAUUCUAACCAAAACCAUUGUCUUCAACAGUUGAUUAUCUAUGAAAGAAAUCUCUGAUAUAAAAUAUAGAUUAUUAAUAAAGAUAGAGACAUUUUUUUUAAAUGUUUGAAACUUGGAAAUAUUCAUUUCAGUGAAUCGAACAUUUGAAGACAAGGAAAUGCAGACACUGGCUGAACCUGUUGGUGAGUAUAAAAUAACAGCACUUGAUUGAUUUCUGUAAGGUUUAUCCCCUGCUGAACUAUUUUGAUAUCAGAAUGAUAAAGAUCAGCUUCCAUUCUUACCUUUCAAUGGGAAGUUUUAGCUUUAAACUAAUCAUAUUAAACAUAUCGAUACUAUUGACAUUUAAUAAAGUAUCCAAUCAGGUUAGCACGGUUGGUGAAGUGGAUAAAUUAGAAGCAAAAUAGAUUUCAGGUUCUCUUUUGGAACAGCCAAAUAAUAUAAGUUGUGGUUUAACAGGUGAAGUAAUGACAAAGGUUUUGUUUGUUUUAUACUCUUUUACUCGUUUCAGACUGUCUCCAUGCUGGAGCACCAACUUUUUAGUCGAGCAAAUCGAACCUAGGACUUAUUCUUUGUAAGCCUAGUACUUAUUCUAUCUGACUCUUUAGCCAAACGGAUAAUUUACGUGGACGGAAACACACCAGCACCGGUUGUCAAGCAAUGUUGGGUGCGGGUGAAACACAUACACACAUACAUAUAUAUAUAUAUACAUAUACAUAUAUAUAUAUAUAUAUAUAUAUAUAUAUAUAUAUACGACGGGCUUCUUUCAGUUCCCCUCUACCAACACCACUCACAAGGCUUUGGUUGGCUCGAGGCUAUAGUAGAAGACAUCUGCCCAAGAUUCCACACAGUGGGACUGAACCCAGCACUAUCGGGUUCGUAAGCAAGCUACUUACCACACAGCCACUCCUAUGCCUGUAGUUUAAAAAUGUUUACUGACAAGUUAUUGUUGUUAUUUUACCUGAUGUCUCUCAUAAUCUGGCAGACUUACAAUGAAACGGGUUCCAAAUAUGACCACCCUCUUAUUUUUCACUGAUAAUAAAUCUAUCAUUGCAUCCACUAAACAUUGUCUUUAUUCAAGUGGAAGACAUCGGUUUGCUGCUCAGAAAACCGUUGUCUGUUUCCCUUUCUCCAAACUUCAUAGAGGCUGUAUGAUACAAUACAAUCAAAUACAUUCAAAGAAACAGUGGACGGGUUGAAAAAGGAAAGGAUAGUGAACACCUUAGAUAAAAGCUCCUUAAGAACCCUUCUGAUGGUACUAGGAUAUUUUUGCCGAUGUUAAGUGGGGGAGAUUAUAAUGCACUAAAGAUGAAGUGAACAAGAAUAUACGGGAGACAUAAGAGGACGUAGUGUUUCUUGGUUACAAGACCACAUCCAUACGAACCAUGAUUAUAGUCCCUAUGUUUCAGUAUGUUUUGAUGGUAUUGUGUUUUCGAUUCAUUUCAUAGGAAACACUAUGUUGUGGAACAUUUCUGUAUACGUAUUUGACACUAAUUAGAUGUAUUUUAUAAAACAUUUUAGAAACAUUUUCAAUUUGUUGACAUCAAUGAUCAUUAGUGACAAAUGUGGUAAAACAGUGACGGUGGAAUGGGGUGUGAGAAGGCUUUCGUAUUCCUUGUAAUGUUGUUAACUACGACAUCAGGAAGACGGUUUCUGUCAGGUAAAUAUUUCUACAGAGGUGUCCAUUUCGUCCCCUCAGAUUUGAUUGAACUGAGUUCUCAGCCCAUUCAGAGGCACCGCAUUAAGGGGACAUCAAAUGAGAGAUGAAAGUUUGGUUGAUAUAUAGAAGAGGGUUGUCAGAGAUAUCCUAGAGUUUUCAGAAUCACUUCCAUUCUACCAUUUCAGAUCUUUGCACUGCUAUAAUGUAAGGAUGAAGAGUUACCUGUAGUAGAGUGAAGUUUGUGCAAGUGUAUCCUCUUUGAGGACACCUGUUAUCAUUUUCUGUUCCACCUGUGUAGAAGUAAUCUUCACUCACCUUUAUAAACACUGCUCUAUUAAGGUGUUUUAAGGCAUUUCAUGCAUCAGCUGACAUUCUGGUGAACAGUGAUGCAGGAAGUUGAAAACUAAUCAUUACCUGCAGUAAUGUUUAAGAAGGAGAUCAGGUGUGAGUGUUUAUACAACUUAAAGUGGUGUGUGUAAUGUGUUAAUGGUUAGAUUAUGGAUAACCAAACUGGUUGCCAUUGGAAUUAAGCAAAGAUGAGAAUAAUGUUGGAUAGAGAAGGGCAGAAGUGAGGGCACAAUUUCACGUCAUAUGUUCAGUGCAGAUAUAAGAAAGGAAAGACAAACCUAAUAAAAGAUUGGUGUUAUCAAGUGAUAAUUAAAUGAAAUAAUGACACAGUUGUUAGAUUAUGUCGAAUGUCUCAAAAGAUAAAGGAAAUUUUGGAGGACUGUAAAUAUUAAACUAUAAACAUUCUAACCAAAACCAUUGUCUUCAACAGUUGAUUAUCUAUGAAAGGAAUCCCUGAUAUAAAAUAUAGAUUAUUAAUAAAGAUAGAGAAAUUUUUCUAUAAUGUUUAAAACUUGGAAAUAUUUAUUUCAGUGAAUCGAACAUUUGAAGACAAGGAAAUGCAGACACUGGCUGAACCUGUUG
rnacentral:lncRNA from 1 species